CUGAAAAGAACCGUCGGUUUCAACUCUGAGUUGGAGUUGAAACCAACAGUUCUGUUUUAGAACCACCCCAAGUCAUUUACAGAUGGUGUCAUUAUAUGGUGUGACCGCAAACCUUUCCAUAAAGUUUGAUGCUAAGAAGUAUCUUAUAGUACAAUGGAAGCUUAAGUUUGGAUUAAAAGAUUGCAUUGUAUGGUUCACCUGAAAGACAUUUGUAGAGUGCAGAUCCUACAGCUUUAAUACAUAUCAAUAUUUUACAUGUUUGUUGACCAAACAUAUUGACCAAAAGUGAGAUCAAAGAGGGUAGAUGCUUACUAACAGCAAUUAGGCAAGACUUUUCGUAUUGCUGAACAUUGCCAAUAUCUCUGUUAGAAUGGCUCCUUAUCUUAUCCUGUAUGUGUGUUUGUUUCCUAUCAUAAAGAAGAAACUACUAAUAAGAAACCAAAUUAAUUAUGUUGAAGAUAUUGAUAAUUUAGUUGAGCUGCUUUACUUGUUUCUUUCAAUGUGAUGUUGAUCAAUGUCUUUCCGGUUUGUACAUGCAGUUAAUACAGUCAUAAAGGUUGUGUUUGAGAAAGAAAAACGGGUCGAGAAAGGCUGAAUGUUAUAAUCAAGAGCUAUUCGGUUGCUUAUGCUGCCGAUUGCUGAAUGUUAUAAUCAAGAGCUAUUCGGUUGCUUAUGCUGCCGAUUGCUGAAUGUUAUAAUCAAGAGCUAUUCGGUUGCUUAUGCUGCCGAUUGCUGAAUGUUAUAAUCAAGAGCUAUUCGGUUGCUUAUGCUGCCGAUUGCUGAAUGUUAUAAUCAAGAGCUAUUCGGUUGCUUAUGCUGCCGAUUGACAAACACAUUCCAUACCAGUUCUGCCAUGUAUUUUUAUAAAAUAAAGGAUGCAAAGUUAAUGUCAGAAUGUUGGCCAAUGCACACAUCUUUGUCAGUGGUGCAACAUAGAAAGAUAUUGUACAAUAUUAAAGUAUUAGUUAUGUAACUGCCCCUAGAAUAUGGUUAUGCAUGCCCUGGCUUAUUUUAAUUUUUAUUUAUUUAUUAAUAAUGUGUAUUUUUCAAUUUCUUACCGCAUUCCUAUUAUUUUUUGUAAAUGGAGAUAGAAGAAAAUUAAUUUUAUCUAGAAAUAAAGUACUAUGUGAUGAAUUUUAACUCGUUCUCAGUGGUUUCUUUGCGGAAAUGAAUGUUAAUAAAAAUAAUAUUAUUAAUAAAAAUGUCAAAAAGAAAAGUUUUGGUAACAAAAUAACUCAUUUCCCUGAAAAGCAUUUACAAAAAUUAAAUGUAUUAAAAUAUUAACAAAACUUUUGGGCAAGGGGGUGUUUGAACUUGAAGAAAUAACUAAUCGUCUGGCCGAAAUAACGUUUUCUUAUUGUUCAUAUACUUUGUUUCUUUAUUCUUCUUUUCUUUUGUCCAUGCCCUAAAUACACUUCCGUAGUACCAAUGGGCAAAACUGCAUAAAGAGGGCGUUCAGCCCUUUUCGAAAGUGAAAUUUGGAUUUGGCACCACAGUCAUACUAUAGCUUGGCCCCGCGGUUGUUGUGACAAUAUUGCGUGUGCUGUGCGUGUAGACGCUCAGGGAUUCGGACGAGAGAACGGAGCCUGAGCCCAAUCCAAAGCCGAAGCCGUGGUUUCCAAAAGGGCCGACGGAAUAGUCUGGUUUACAAUGUCUACUUUCUGUGUUUUCGAUCCUUUGGUUUGAGUCGGGUUACUGACACGUGAGCGCCAUCUUUGAAUUACAAGAGUAACUUUGUCUUGUGAUCUUACUCAACAAAGAAAGCUUUCUAUUCGGAAAGCUGUCAACUGAUGCAAUGUAACUUUGCAUCAUGGUGUCAGUAGUAUCAGGAAAAGUUACCCCAGGAAAGCUGUUUGUCUGACGUCUUCCAUCACUUUCAAUUCCUGCUGCCUGAGGAUCCAAUGCAACAGUGACAUCACGGGUGAGGAGUGAAUGAAAGAAGGUCAGGGAGCUGGCCCCAUCAAGGCACUGCCCCCGAAGAUGAAGGGCAAGGAAUACAUCGCAUGUGUCCAAAGCUGCAUGGUGUACAGCUGCGAGAUAUGGCUCACAAGGGUGGGGCACAUGGAAUGAAUGAGCAGAGAUGAGAAUGAUCAGGUGGAUGUGUUGUGUGUCUCUGGCUGACAGGCUGUCAAGUGAGGAGCUGAGGAGAGUCGGAGUGGAGGGGAUCAACACCGUUUUGAGGAGGCACUGUAUGCCGAGGUGGUCUGGUCAUGUGGAGAGAAAGGAGGAUGCCAACUAGGUCAAGAGGUGUACCAAUGUAAUUGUGGGUGGGCCCAAACCCAUUGGCCAACCAGGCAAGACGUGGCAGAGCUCUGUGUCGAGUGACAUACACCUUCUUGGAGUCGAUGCAAGGGAUGCGGCGGACAGGGCAAAGCGGAGAAGAGCCAUAGGCCAACCCAGAACAGACUUGACAACGGCCUUCAAACCGACAUGAUGAUGAUGCUGAUGAUGAUGAUUAGACAAGCUUUGGAAACCAGUCCUGAUAGGAAAGCUGCUUAACUGUGAUGUCUUCUAUCGCUUUCAAUUUCUGCUGGCAGAGACAAGCUGUGGAAACCGGUCCUCAUAGGAAAGUUGCUUAACUGAUGUGUUUCAUUGCUUCUAAAUCCUGCUAGCUGAGACAAGUUGUGGAAUCCAGCCCUUGUAGGGAAUCAAGAGUAGUGACGAGGUCUUAGACUGGAGCUUCAUACCGGCAAGCUGAGAUCGUUGGGGUGUGACAAAGGACUAAGCCAAAGUUUGCUGGAGUCCACAGAUGUCCGCCAAAGGGUCUGCAGAGUCUACACAACAUGGGAUUGUCAUCAUAAGUUUCACCUCUUGCUUGAGUGGUGCAGAGACAGAGUCAAGCGCCCUCCUGUGUACUGUUCCAUAAACUGAAGAUAGAGACAUGGAGUGGGGCGAUGUACGAGAGAUGACAUAUGACCAAACUGCAAGGUGGCAUAACAACUGCAUCUUCUAAGGACCCAUGUCAUCCAUGAAGCAGCACCUAAAUCAACACUGUAAGUUUGUCAGCAAGGCCUGAAUGAACAAACCCAGGGAGAGUAAGUUCCAAUGAAUGGAAGGCUGAUGUGUAUAGAAGGCAACCUGACACACAGUAUGACUUCCAGCACACAAUCGUCAGUAUCAUCUUGACAGCUGAAUAUUGCAAAGAAGAGACCCACCAUAAUGUAACGGCUAGGACUCUUUAAUGGACAGUAGAUUUCUAUUCGCAUUUGUGGACAGUUACAUCUUAUGGACCUGAAAAAAACUAAUUGAGUUACGGAUUAUCAAUGCAAGGAUCCUUGGAGACAAGAUGUUCAUCACAAGAACUGUGUAUCGUUCAACACAAGGACUUUCCUGAGAUAAUGUUCAUGAACACAAGAACUAUUCAAGAUAUCGUUUACCAGCACAAUGACUUUACAAGACAGUUUUUCAACACAUCAAACUUUCUUAAAGACAAUGAUCUUCAAUCAAGAGCUGUCCAAGAUAAAGAUAAAGAGAAUGAAUUGUUAUCAACACAAGAAUGGUCAAAGUCAUCAAGACAAGAAGUUUCAAAGAACAAUCAACACAAUCAUUGGAGACAAGAGUAUUCAGCAAAGAACCGUCCGAGACAUUCAUGAACUUAUAAACUUUUCAAGUAAUAGUUGUACUGGCCCCAAUUUCAUGGCUCUGCUUACCGCCGAAUUCUUGGCUUACGAUCACGAUUCGUCGCUUACAUGCAGGCGCCGCAUUUCUGCGCUAGCCUUGUAAGCGUAAAAUGCCUAGUAACGUGGAGUA